AACGCACAUUGCACUCUUUUGAGUAUGCCUGUUUGAGAAUCUAUUGUAUUCAUUUUGACUACUCUUGGUAGCCAGAGAUAUGAGUUUCCCUGCAAAGGGUUGCUUGAAAUAGAUAGCUCGGUCUGGAAAAAAGCGACGACGUUUCUCUUAACCGCAGAAAAGUAUUUGAAUGGAACUCUGUUUCUUACUGUGCCGAAUAUGUGGUGGGAAAAAGAGUUUUUUGAUAGAGCGAUGUCCAUAAUUAUAAAGUCGCAAGACUUGAACCAUGGUCUCAAAUCAGGUAGGAAGACCCGCUGAACUUAA
rnacentral:misc_RNA from 1 species